GAUGAAGAACGCAGCGAAAUGCGAUAAGUAAUGUGAAUUGCAGAAUUCAGUGAAUCAUCGAAUCUUUGAACGCACAUUGCGCCCGCCAGUAUUCUGGCGGGCAUGCCUGUUCGAGCGUCAUUACAACCCUCAGGCCCCCGGGCCUGGCGUUGGGGAUCGGCGGAGCCCCCUUGGGCACACGCCGUCCCCCAAAUGCAGUGGCGGUCCCGCCGCAGCUUCCAUCGCGUAGUAGCUAACACCUCGCGACUGGAGAGCGGCGCGGCCACGCCGUAAAACACCCAACUCUUCUGAAGUUGACCUCGAAUCAGGUAGGAAUACCCGCUGAACUUAAGCAUAUCAAUAAGCGGAGGA
rnacentral:misc_RNA from 1 species